CUGAGUGAGGGCCCUCCGGGUCCAACCUCCCACCCGUGUUUAUUCGUACCUUGUUGCUUCGGCAGGCCCGCGCCUGCCGGAGACAAUUCUGAACGCUGUCUGAAGAAUGCAGUCUGAGCGAUUAGCAAAAUUAGUUA
rnacentral:misc_RNA from 1 species